CGAAGAACCUUACCAGGUCUUGACAUCCUUUGACCACUCUAGAGAUAGAGCUUCCCCUUCGGGGGCAAAGUGACAGGUGGUGCAUGGUUGUCGUCAGCUCGUGUCGUGAGAUGUUGGGUUAAGUCCCGCAACGAGCGCAACCCUUAUUGUUAGUUGCCAUCAUUCAGUUGGGCACUCUAGCAAGACUGCCGGUGACAAACCGGAGGAAGGUGGGGAUGACGUCAAAUCAUCAUGCCCCUUAUGACCUGGGCUACACACGUGCUACAAUGGGAAGUACAACGAGUUGCGAAGUCGCGAGGCUAAGCUAAUCUCUUAAAGCUUCUCUCAGUUCGGAUUGUAGUCUGCAACUCGACUACAUGAAGCCGGAAUCGCUAGUAAUCGCGGAUCAGCACGCCGCGGUGAAUACGUUCCCGGGUCUUGUACACA
rnacentral:rRNA from 1 species